rnacentral:lncRNA from 1 species
CUUCUCCCUUCUUCCUUCUCUUCUCUCCCACCUUCUAUGUUUAUCUUAAUUUUUUUCUUCUUCCUUCUAUUAUCUUCAUCAUUCUCUUCUAUUCUCUCCCCCCUUCUCUCUUUUUGUUCUUCCUUCUCUUCUCUCUAUUUAUUUUAUGCAGAAUCAUACCCUCCACCCCUUCAAUCAAGAAACAGCAACACAAUCAAGAAAUUGAAAGAUAGAAUUUUUGAAUUUUGAAAGAAAGAGAGAAUUUUCGAAUUUUUUAUUCUUCAUACAUGGAAUUUAUUUUUAAUCAUCUGGGUUUGAUUUUCGAUCGGCUGUUUUUGAUUCUUCAUGCAUGGAAUUGAUUUUUUGUUCUGUGCAUCUCUAAUUUGGAGAAGGGAGAGGGUUAAUGAGGAUGGAAGAGAAGGACUGGGUUUGUUGGUUCAUUAGAGAAAUAUGAAGAGAUCUGGAGAAGAAGAAAUGAAUGGAGAAUUGAUUUUUUUUCCUUUUUUUUAAUUGAUUGGAACGUUUUUUUUUUAAAUAAUUGCUAAUUUAUUAAGAAAAAGGCAGGUAGGAUAAUAAUUGUUAUUUUCUUUUUGAUUUGGGUCUCAAAGGAGUAAAGAGAUUGAAGGGAGGUGGACUGGUGGAGUAAAAGCGUAUGAAUUUUUUUUGAAAAAAGGUUGAUAGAAGAAGGAGAUAAUGAGGAAGAAGAUGAAGAUAUGAUGUUUUUAAUUUUUCAAUUUUUUUAAGCAAUUGUUAAUUAAUAUAAAAAUGUUGGUUGAAAAAAAUAUAAAAAUCCAACUCAGCACGCCAUGUCGUUGGUAAAUGGACAGUCAGCGCCCCACCUAAGCUAAUUUAUUCAGUCAGAUGAUCUUAUGGGGGUAAACCAAAUAAUCUACAUUUUAAAAAGGAG